rnacentral:tRNA from 1 species
CCGCCAUUAGCUCAUCAGGAUAGAGCGCCAGCCUUUGAAGCUGGUUGCGCGGGGUUCGAGUCCUCGAUGGCGGUCCA